AUUUAAAGAGUGCGUAAUAGCUCACUGGUCGAGAGUCCCUGCGCCGAAAAUUUCCGGGGCUAAAGUACGGAACCGAAGCCGUGGCUGUGCAUGUAAGUGCACGGGGUAGGGGAGCGUUGCCACAGGGGUGAAGCUGGUCUGGAAGGACUGGUGGACUUGUGGGAAGUGAGAAUGUUGGUAUGAGUAGCGAAAAGAAAGGUGAGAAUCCUUUCCACCGAAAGCAUAAGGAUUCCUGAGCAACGAUCGUCGUCUCAGGGUAAGUCGGGACCUAAUCCGAGGCAAAGAGCGUAGGAGAUGGACAACAGGUUGAUAUUCCUGUACCGGCAGCAAUUGUUUGAGCGAAGGAGUGACACAGAAGGGCAGGCAGGCGCGAGACUGGAUUGUCGCGUGCAAGCGUGUAGGGUAGUGUACAGGCAAAUCCGUACACUGAGAGCCUGAGGCGUUACGCGGAGCGAGCAGAGAUGCGAGCGAAGCUGCUGAUCCCACACUGUCGAGAAAAGCUUCUAGUGAGAGAGCUGCCGCCCGUACCGUAAACCGACACAGGUAUGCGGGGAGAGAAUCCUAAGGUGCGCGGGAGAACCCUCGUUAAGGAACUCGGCAAAAUGUACCCGUAACUUCGGGAUAAGGGUAGCCGUCUUGGUGAAGGAGCUUGCCUCUGGAGCUGAAGGCGGUCGCAGAGAAGAGGCCCAAGCGACUGUUUACCACAAACACAGGUGCCUGCUAAAGCGAAAGCUGACGUAUAGGUGCUGACACCUGCCCAGUGCUGGAAGGUUAAGGAAGGAUGUCCGGGCAACCAAAGCAUUCGACCGAAGCCCCAGUGAACGGCGGCCGUAACUAUAACGGUCCUAAGGUAGCGAAAUUCCUUGUCGGGUAAGUUCCGACCCGCACGAAAGGUGUAACGAUUUGGGCACUGUCUCAACGAGGGACCCGGUGAAAUUGAAAUACCUGUGAAGAUGCAGGUUACCCGCGACUGGACAGAAAGACCCCAUGGAGCUUUACUGUAACCUGACAUUGGGUUUUGUUGUAUUACGUACAGGAUAGGUGGGAGGCUUAGAAGGCUGGACGCUAGUCUGGCUGGAGCCGGCGUUGGGAUACCACCCUUGAUACAACGGAAUUCUAACCGAGAGAGUAACGAAAUCCGGGACAGUGUCAGGCGGGCAGUUUGACUGGGGCGGUCGCCUCCGAAAGAGUAACGGAGGCGCCCAAAGGUUCCCUCAGCGCGGCCGGAAAUCGCGCGAAGAGUGUAAAGGCAGAAGGGAGCUUGACUGCGAGCCAAACACGGCGAGCAGGUACGAAAGUAGGGCUUAGUGAUCCG
rnacentral:rRNA from 1 species